UAGUUACAUUUUAUUUUUAGCGGUGGCAUGUACAGUCUAAUUUUUUAGAAAUCAGCAGAAAUGUCAUCAAAAAUGGCCAACUGACAUAAAAAUAUUUUUAGUCUGUGAACUAGUGAUGCGACAAAACCUCUCGUUAAUCGCGAAGUGAAAUUAUUGUAGUACUUGCGUAUCAUCGCCGGGUGAUCGUCAAAAUACUAAAAAUAUGCAACAAAGUCGCAACAUUGAAUGUGAACUGAUUAUGAAAUUUUCGAGAACAGGAAACAAACUGUAUGCACAGAUGUAAUCAAAAAACACACUGGACAGUAAAAUAAUCAAUGAUAUCCGUAAAGUUAUUAAACUUCAAAUAGUUGCUAAAAGUUCUGUUUGACAGUGUUGCUACUAGUGACAUCUCGCUCGCUCAGUUCUUUGUUGCUCUAUUCCACUAGGGAGGUAAUUUAAGAUGCUAUCAAUGAGGGUUUUCGCGAUUGAAAAAUCCGCCAGAUGGCAAUACGUAGACGCGAGGUCCAAAUGCUGCACGAUUGGUUAUUUUUGACAUGACAUUGACAGAUAUGUCCAAAUCCACCAAUCACGCAGCAUUUGGACCUCGCAUCUACGUUUUGCCAUCUGGCGGAUUUUUCAAUCGCGAAAACCCUCAUUGAAAGAAGAUUUUUAUUUUCUUUUAUUUUAUUUACUUAUAUAGGAAAAUAAGCAAUGGAACAAUACGUAAGCAUAAUUGCAUAAAAAAGUAAAAUAAUUUCGUUUAAAUAAAACCGACUAAAAAUUAAACUGACUCCGAAAAAGUAUACACUAAAUGUAGAAAAAUAAUUUUACGUUAUCUCCAAUAUUGUCGAAGUUAUCGCUGGAAAAGUAAACAAAGUAUCGUAUAUUUUUUAUUUAAAAUUAAUCAGUAAUCGGAAUAAGUGAAUACUUAAAAUAAUAUCGAUUAAAUUUACAAAUUAUUGUCUAUGAGUCACAGGUUACAGCACUGAUGUGUCAGAGACAAGUCAUAGACAAUAUGGAGAUAACACAUGAUUUUAAACGUCAAGUCAAUUUGACAAGUCUCACAAAUUUUCAUCGUCCACGUAUUUUGCUAAAAUAAUUUGUUUCAAAGAUUGAUUUCAAACUUGUAAAAACGUGAAAAUAAAGUUGGUUUCAUGGGCUUGUUAAAUAAUGUGUAUGAUAUUAUGAACACGUAAGUGAUUAUGGUGUAAUUGUGUAUGAAAGUGUUUGUUUACAUCUCUGCUGGAUUCUAAAAAAUCAAGGUAUAAUAACAAACUAUAUUUACUUACAUACGUAUAACUUACAUACUUAACUAUCAUUCACUUGAAAACUUAUCUACAAACUUCAUAAAAAUAUUAAUUUAUCAACACAGCGAAGGCAGAUAAACUUAAAAAUAUUUAGUAGAGAGAAUAUUUGUAUAGCCUGACCAGGAACAUAAAAACCCUCGCCAUGUUGCGGAAAACUAAUGGUACUAAUUUCUUUUAAUGGCAACAGUAACUGAAAACUUCAUUGACAUGUCACCUUGCAUGUCAGUCUAUUGUUGUCAAAGUGUAAACAAACUUUAUUUUAAAUAUGUGCAAUUGAUUUUGUGAAUUAAAUUGCUAAAAUAUUUUUAUAGUCGUGAAAGAAAAGUGGUUCACAAUGUGUUAAUGUAUUUGUCGAAGAGAAAUACUAAGGGUUCGGACAAUAUUUUCAUUGAAUAAUGUUUCCGACAAAGGUUGUCAAAUUGACUGACAUGUUUAUCGUAUAGUACAGUCCACUAUGAAAAUUAGCUGUAGUCUGUUUCAACUACCUAUUUUAAAGUUUUUUGUCACUUUCUAAGUUUUGAAUUUUAUGGAAUUGGGAAAGAAGUACCGAGUUUGAAGCGUUCAUGAGCAGACAUUGCAGUUGAAAAUUCAAGUUCUGAAUUUGAUUAUUUAUGAAUAAUAAAAUAAAUCCUACUAGCUC